rnacentral:rRNA from 1 species
UUGGAGGGCAAGUCUGGUGCCAGCAGCCGCGGUAAUUCCAGCUCCAAUGGCGUAUAUUAAAGUUGCUGCAGUUAAAAAGCUCGUAGUUGAAUUUCGGGACCAAUAUGUCGGUCGUGCCUCGGUACGUACUGGCAUCGUUGGUUUCUCCCUUCUGACGAACCAUGAUGUCAUUUAUUUGGUGUCGUGGGGAAUCAGGACUGUUACUUUGAAAAAAUUAGAGUGUUUAAAGCAGGCUCACGCUUGAAUACAUUAGCAUGGAAUAAUGAAAUAGGACGUUUGAUUCUAUUUUGUUGGUUUCUAGGAUUGACGUAAUGAUUAAUAGGGAUAGUUGGGGGCAUUAGUAUUCAAUUGUCAGAGGUGAAAUUCUUGGAUUUAUUGAAGACUAACUACUGCGAAAGCAUUUGCCAAGGAUGUUUUCAUUAAUCAAGAACGAAAGUUAGGGGAUCGAAGACGAUCAGAUACCGUCGUAGUCUUAACCAUAAACUAUGCCGACUAGGAAUCGGAUGAUGUUAAUUUUUUAAUGACUCAUUCGGCACCUUACGGGAAAC